GGGUUGUGAGGUUAAGCGACUAAGCGUACACGGUGGAUGCCCUGGCAGUCAGAGGCGAUGAAGGACGUGCUAAUCUGCGAUAAGCGUCGGUAAGGUGAUAUGAACCGUUAUAACCGGCGAUUUCCGAAUGGGGAAACCCAGUGUGAUUCGUCACACUAUCAUUAACUGAAUCCAUAGGUUAAUGAGGCGAACCGGGGGAACUGAAACAUCUAAGUACCCCGAGGAAAAGAAAUCAACCGAGAUUCCCCCAGUAGCGGCGAGCGAACGGGGAGCAGCCCAGAGCCUGAAUCAGUGUGUGUGUUAGUGGAAGCGUCUGGAAAGGCGCGCGAUACAGGGUGACAGCCCCGUACACAAAAAUGCACAUGCUGUGAGCUCGAUGAGUAGGGCGGGACACGUGGUAUCCUGUCUGAAUAUGGGGGGACCAUCCUCCAAGGCUAAAUACUCCUGACUGACCGAUAGUGAACCAGUACCGUGAGGGAAAGGCGAAAAGAACCCCGGCGAGGGGAGUGAAAAAGAACCUGAAACCGUGUACGUACAAGCAGUGGGAGCACGCUUAGGCGUGUGACUGCGUACCUUUUGUAUAAUGGGUCAGCGACUUAUAUUCUGUAGCAAGGUUAACCGAAUAGGGGAGCCGAAGGGAAACCGAGUCUUAACUGGGCGUUAAGUUGCAGGGUAUAGACCCGAAACCCGGUGAUCUAGCCAUGGGCAGGUUGAAGGUUGGGUAACACUAACUGGAGGACCGAACCGACUAAUGUUGAAAAAUUAGCGGAUGACUUGUGGCUGGGGGUGAAAGGCCAAUCAAACCGGGAGAUAGCUGGUUCUCCCCGAAAGCUAUUUAGGUAGCGCCUCGUGAAUUCAUCUCCGGGGGUAGAGCACUGUUUCGGCAAGGGGGUCAUCCCGACUUACCAACCCGAUGCAAACUGCGAAUACCGGAGAAUGUUAUCACGGGAGACACACGGCGGGUGCUAACGUCCGUCGUGAAGAGGGAAACAACCCAGACCGCCAGCUAAGGUCCCAAAGUCAUGGUUAAGUGGGAAACGAUGUGGGAAGGCCCAGACAGCCAGGAUGUUGGCUUAGAAGCAGCCAUCAUUUAAAGAAAGCGUAAUAGCUCACUGGUCGAGUCGGCCUGCGCGGAAGAUGUAACGGGGCUAAACCAUGCACCGAAGCUGCGGCAGCGACGCUUAUGCGUUGUUGGGUAGGGGAGCGUUCUGUAAGCCUGUGAAGGUGUGCUGUGAGGCAUGCUGGAGGUAUCAGAAGUGCGAAUGCUGACAUAAGUAACGAUAAAGCGGGUGAAAAGCCCGCUCGCCGGAAGACCAAGGGUUCCUGUCCAACGUUAAUCGGGGCAGGGUGAGUCGACCCCUAAGGCGAGGCCGAAAGGCGUAGUCGAUGGGAAACAGGUUAAUAUUCCUGUACUUGGUGUUACUGCGAAGGGGGGACGGAGAAGGCUAUGUUGGCCGGGCGACGGUUGUCCCGGUUUAAGCGUGUAGGCUGGUUUUCCAGGCAAAUCCGGAAAAUCAAGGCUGAGGCGUGAUGACGAGGCACUACGGUGCUGAAGCAACAAAUGCCCUGCUUCCAGGAAAAGCCUCUAAGCAUCAGGUAACAUCAAAUCGUACCCCAAACCGACACAGGUGGUCAGGUAGAGAAUACCAAGGCGCUUGAGAGAACUCGGGUGAAGGAACUAGGCAAAAUGGUGCCGUAACUUCGGGAGAAGGCACGCUGAUAUGUAGGUGAAGUCCCUCGCGGAUGGAGCUGAAAUCAGUCGAAGAUACCAGCUGGCUGCAACUGUUUAUUAAAAACACAGCACUGUGCAAACACGAAAGUGGACGUAUACGGUGUGACGCCUGCCCGGUGCCGGAAGGUUAAUUGAUGGGGUUAGCGCAAGCGAAGCUCUUGAUCGAAGCCCCGGUAAACGGCGGCCGUAACUAUAACGGUCCUAAGGUAGCGAAAUUCCUUGUCGGGUAAGUUCCGACCUGCACGAAUGGCGUAAUGAUGGCCAGGCUGUCUCCACCCGAGACUCAGUGAAAUUGAACUCGCUGUGAAGAUGCAGUGUACCCGCGGCAAGACGGAAAGACCCCGUGAACCUUUACUAUAGCUUGACACUGAACAUUGAGCCUUGAUGUGUAGGAUAGGUGGGAGGCUUUGAAGUGUGGACGCCAGUCUGCAUGGAGCCGACCUUGAAAUACCACCCUUUAAUGUUUGAUGUUCUAACGUUGACCCGUAAUCCGGGUUGCGGACAGUGUCUGGUGGGUAGUUUGACUGGGGCGGUCUCCUCCUAAAGAGUAACGGAGGAGCACGAAGGUUGGCUAAUCCUGGUCGGACAUCAGGAGGUUAGUGCAAUGGCAUAAGCCAGCUUGACUGCGAGCGUGACGGCGCGAGCAGGUGCGAAAGCAGGUCAUAGUGAUCCGGUGGUUCUGAAUGGAAGGGCCAUCGCUCAACGGAUAAAAGGUACUCCGGGGAUAACAGGCUGAUACCGCCCAAGAGUUCAUAUCGACGGCGGUGUUUGGCACCUCGAUGUCGGCUCAUCACAUCCUGGGGCUGAAGUAGGUCCCAAGGGUAUGGCUGUUCGCCAUUUAAAGUGGUACGCGAGCUGGGUUUAGAACGUCGUGAGACAGUUCGGUCCCUAUCUGCCGUGGGCGCUGGAGAAUUGAGGGGGGCUGCUCCUAGUACGAGAGGACCGGAGUGGACGCAUCACUGGUGUUCGGGUUGUCAUGCCAAUGGCACUGCCCGGUAGCUAAAUGCGGAAGAGAUAAGUGCUGAAAGCAUCUAAGCACGAAACUUGCCCCGAGAUGAGUUCUCCCUGACUCCUUGAGAGUCCUGAAGGAACGUUGAAGACGACGACGUUGAUAGGCCGGGUGUGUAAGCGCAGCGAUGCGUUGAGCUAACCGGUACUAAUGAACCGUGAGGCUUAACCUUACAACGCCGAAG
rnacentral:rRNA from 1 species